GAAGGAGGAAGAGACAAGUAGGGGAGGAGAAAGGUGUCUCCGUGGGGUUGGCUGUAGAGAAGCACACGGCAGGAUCGAUGCGGAUGGAGGAAGGCAGCCCAGGUGGAUGGUGUGUUUAGAAGGUAGUUGGGUUGCUGGAUCCCAGAAGGAUUUUGCCCAGCUCUGCUUUCUAUUGACCUGACUGCCAAGGUGACAUAACCAGCCUUCUCAAGCUCCUCGUACCCCCACCUGAACAGACUAUAGGCUCUGAAGUGGAGGCCAGAAUGAAUCCUUCCUCCUUUACAUAUCGAAUGAGCCUUACAACUCAUGGGCAGCAGGCAGAGCACAAGGAAGCCUUCAUGAAGUAAAGGCCAAAGAAAUGGAUGCAGCAGCCAGAGCGGAAAUGUGGCAGUCAAGGUCAGGGUAAUGGGGACUGCAGGUCAGUGUGCAAAGGGUUAGGCUUGAACUCUGUCUUUAUUCCCCAUGUCUCCUUUAAUUUAGUCAUAAUUCAACUAAGCCAGUCAGGUUCCUUGGAGCUGCCGUGAGUAAGCACUGUCUUUGAUAGGCCCUGUUUUAACAAUGAUUCCUAAGGACCAGUUUAUGCAGAUCUACCAAACUUUAAGUCAGCUCCUCUUCUUUCACCCCAGUACUAACC